AGUGAACGCUGGCGGUAGGCCUAACACAUGCAAGUCGAACGGCAGCACAGUAAGAGUUUGCUCUUACGGGUGGCGAGUGGCGGACGGGUGAGGAAUACAUCGGAAUCUACUUUUUCGUGGGGGAUAACGUAGGGAAACUUACGCUAAUACCGCAUAGGACCUACGGGUGAAAGCAGGGGAUCUUCGGACCUUGCGCGAUUGAAUGAGCCGAUGUCGGAUUAGCUAGUUGGCGGGGUAAAGGCCCACCAAGGCGAGGAUCCGUAGCUGGUCUGAGAGGAUGAUCAGCCACACUGGAACUGGGACACGGUCAAGACUCCUACGGGAGGCAGCAUUGGGGAAUAUUGGACAAUGGGCGCAGGCCUGAUCCAGCCAUACCGCGUGGGUGAAGAAGGCCUUCGGGUGGUAAAGCCCUUUUGUUGGGAAAGAAAAGCAGCAGGUUAAUACCCCGCUGUUCUGACGGUACCCAAAGAAUAAGCACCGGCUAACUUCGUG
rnacentral:rRNA from 1 species